UACAGAGGGUGCGAGCGUUAAUCGGAAUUACUGGGCGUAAAGCGUGCGUAGACGGUUAUUUAAGUCGGGUGUGAAAGCCCCGGGCUCAACCUGGGAAUUGCAUUCGAGACUGUGUAGCUAGGGUACGGAAGAGGGAAGCGGAAUUUCAGGUGUAGCGGUGAAAUGCGUAGAUAUCUGAAGGAACACCAGUGGCGAAAGCGGCUUCCUGGUCCAGUACCGACGUUCAGGCACGAAAGCGUGGGGAGCAAACAGG
rnacentral:rRNA from 1 species